UAAAUAGAUACCCGGGUAGUCCACGCCCUAAACGAUGCGAACUGGAUGUUGGGUACAUUACGGUACUCAGUGCCGAAGCUAACGCGUUAAGUUCGCCGCCUGGGGAGUACGGUCGCAAGACUGAAACUCAAAGGAAUUGACGGGGGCCCGCACAAGCGGUGGAGUAUGUGGUUUAAUUCGAUGCAACGCGAAGAACCUUACCUGGCCUUGACAUCUGUCGAAUCCUGCAGAGAUGCGGGAGUGCCGCAAGGAACGACAAGACAGGUGCUGCAUGGCUGUCGUCAGCUCGUGUCGUGAGAUGUUGGGUUAAGUCCCGCAACGAGCGCAACCCUUGUCCCUAGUUGCCAGCACGUAAUGGUGGGAACUCUAGGGAGACUGCCGGUGACAAACCGGAGGAAGGUGGGGAUGACGUCAAGUCCUCAUGGCCCUUACGGCCAGGGCUACACACGUACUACAAUGGUCGGUACAGAGGGUUGCGAAGCCGCGAGGUGGAGCCAAUCCCAGAAAAACCGAUCCCGAGUCCGGAUCGGAGUCUGCAACUCGA
rnacentral:rRNA from 1 species